rfam:Stegodyphus mimosarum contig58073, whole genome shotgun sequence.
GCCUUCGUGGUGUAGUGGUCAGCACGCUCGGCGCGUAUUCGAGAGGUCCGUGGUUCGAGUCCCGGCGAAGGCA